AGUGAACGCUGGCGGUAGGCCUAACACAUGCAAGUCGAACGGCAGCACAGUAAGAGCUUGCUCUUACGGGUGGCGAGUGGCGGACGGGUGAGGAAUACAUCGGAAUCUACUUUUUCGUGGGGGAUAACGUAGGGAAACUUACGCUAAUACCGCAUACGACCUACGGGUGAAAGCAGGGGAUCUUCGGACCUUGCGCGAUUGAAUGAGCCGAUGUCGGAUUAGCUAGUUGGCGGGGUAAAGGCCCACCAAGGCGACGAUCCGUAGCUGGUCUGAGAGGAUGAUCAGCCGCACUAGAGCUGAAACACGGUCCAGACUCCUACGGGAGGCAGCAGUGGGGAAUAUUGGACAGUGGGCGCAAACCUGGUCCAGCCAUACCGCGUGGGUGAAGAAGGCCUUCGGGUUGUAAAGCCCUUUUGUUGGGAAAGAAAAGCAGCAGGUUAAUACCCCGCUGUUCUGACGGUACCCAAAGAAUAAGCACCGGCUAACUUCGUG
rnacentral:rRNA from 1 species